rnacentral:rRNA from 1 species
UCGAGAAUCUUCGGCAAUGGGCGCAAGCCUGACCGAGCGACGCCGCGUGGAGGAUGAAGGCCUUCGGGUUGUAAACUCCUGUCGAGGGGGAGGAAGGUCGGUAACGGCUUGACCGAUCCCUGGAGGAAGCACGGGCUAAGUUCGUGCCAGCAGCCGCGGUAAGACGAACCGUGCGAACGUUAUUCGGAAUCACUGGGCUUAAAGCGCGUGUAGGCGGAUGGGGACGUCGGUUGUUGAAAGCCCCCGGCUCAACCGGGGAACUGGCACCGAAACGCCCCGUCUCGAGGGACGUAGGGGGACCUGGAACUUCCGGUGGAGCGGUGAAAUGCGUUGAGAUCGGAAGGAACGCCCGUGGCGAAAGCGAGGUCCUGGACGUCUACUGACGCUGAGACGCGAAAGCUAGGGGAGCGAACGGGAUUAGAUACCCCCGUAGUCC